rnacentral:rRNA from 1 species
AUAAAGUAUAUAAAUAAUAUUUUUUAUUGUUAAGACAAAGAACCGAAAGGGGUACUUUAACUAUAAUUUUUGAAUGAUUACCUUUUGUAUAAUGGUUAAAUUAGAAUAAAGUUGUUUUUCUUUUCCCGAAAUAAAAAGAUCUUAAAACAUACUUCCUUAUAGUGGAAUAAUAGUCUUUUUGUAGCAAUAAAAAGCUAAAAGUAGUUUUAAGGAUUGAAAAGAUUUCAUUUUUUAAGAUAGCUGGAUUCUCAAUAAAAGUUUUUAAAACUACGAGGUUAACUAGGGGGCAUUUAGGUCCUUUAGGUAAAGAAUGCUUAAUUAUAAAAUUAUUAAUGGGUUAAUCCUCAUUAAACUUUUAAUUUAAGAAUUAUUUAUUAAUUAUUAUCUUUUUAGUUAUUGAGAUAAAAAUAAAAAUUGAGUUAUUUUUGAAUUCUGUUUAAAUUAGUAAUAAAGUUUAUUUAAUAUAAAAUAAAAAAUAGUAAUAAGGAACUCGGCAAAUGGGAAUUUCAACUGUUUAACAAAAACAUAGCUUAAAGAAUAUUAUUUUAAGUGAAACCUGCCCAGUGUGAAAAUUAAAUAAAUGGCCGCGGUACUCUGACCGUGCUAAGGUAGCGUAAUAAUUUGGCUUUUAAAUGGAGUCAGGUAUGAAUGGUUUAAUGGAAUUCAGCUGUCUUUUACUAUUUUAUUGAAAUUACUUUUUAGGUGAAAAAGCCUAAAUAAUUACAAGGGACGAGAAGACCCUUAGAGCUUUACCAUGAGUGGUGAUAAAUAAUGGUUUCGUUGGGGCGACGUAGGAAUAAUGAAAAUCUUCCUUUUAUUUACAUGCCGAUGGUUUAUAAGUAAGAUUAGCUACCUUAGGGAUAACAGCAUAAUAUUAUAAUUAAGCUUGUGACCUCGAUGUUGGACUAGGGGCUCCUUUAACUAGAAGUUUAAGGAUCAGGUUCUGUUCGAACCAACUAUUCCCU